rnacentral:rRNA from 1 species
CCUACGGGAGGCUGCAGUGAGGAAUAUUGGUCAAUGGCCGUAAGGCUGAACCAGCCAAGUCGCGUGAAGGAAGAAGGAUCUAUGGUUUGUAAACUUCUUUUAUAGGGGAAUAAAGGUAUCCACGUGUGGAUAUUUGCAUGUACCCUAUGAAUAAGCAUCGGCUAACUCCGUGCCAGCAGCCGCGGUAAUACGGAGGAUGCGAGCGUUAUCCGGAUUUAUUGGGUUUAAAGGGUGCGUAGGUUGUUUUUUAAGUCAGCGGUGAAAGUUUGUGGCUCAACCAUAAAAUUGCCGUUGAAACUGGAAGACGUGAGUGUGUUUGAGGUAGGCGGAAUGCGUGGUGUAGCGGUGAAAUGCAUAGAUAUCACGCAGAACUCCGAUUGCGAAGGCAGCUUACUAAGCAAUAACUGACACUGAAGCACGAAAGCGUGGGGAUCAAACAGGAUUAGAUACCCUGGUAGUC